rnacentral:rRNA from 1 species
AAUAUUGCACAAUGGGCGCAAGCCUGAUGCAGCAACGCCGUGUGAGUGAAGAAGGUUUUCGGAUCGUAAAACUCUGUCCUAAGGGAAGAAACAAAUGACGGUACCUUAGGAGGAAGCCCCGGCUAACUACGUGCCAGCAGCCGCGGUAAUACGUAGGGGCAAGCGUUAUCCGGAAUCACUGGGCGUAAAGGGUGCGUAGGCGGCUUAGCAAGCCAGGGGUGAAAGGCAUUGGCUCAACCAAUGUAAGCCUUUGGAACUGUUAAGCUUGAGUGCAGGAGAGGUAAGUGGAAUUCCUAGUGUAGAGGUGAAAUUCGUAGAUAUUAGGAGGAACACCAGUGGCGAAGGCGACUUACUGGACUGUAACUGACGCUGAUGCACGAAAGCGUGGGUAGCGAACAGGAUUAGAUACCCUGGUAG